UACGUAGGGGGCAAGCGUUGUCCGGAAUUAUUGGGCGUAAAGCGCGCGCAGGCGGCUUUGUAAGUCUGUCGUUUAAGUUCGGGGCUCAACCCCGUAUCGCGAUGGAAACUGCAAGGCUUGAGUGCAGAAGAGGAAAGUGGAAUUCCACGUGUAGCGGUGAAAUGCGUAGAGAUGUGGAGGAACACCAGUGGCGAAGGCGGCCCGCUGGGCAGUGGCUGACGCUGAGGCGCGAAAGCGUGGGGAGCGAACAGG
rnacentral:rRNA from 1 species